rnacentral:pre_miRNA from 1 species
UGGACAGAUUAUUAUAUUCGACUGUAUUCACGGCGUGAAAUAGGGGAUUACAUUGUUUUUAAAACGGAAAGUGAAUCAAUUAACAUAAUAGACUCCU